AAAAGUGUGGAAUUUGUGAGAAGAAAAAAAAAUCUAAAGGCAUAGCAAAAAUUGGGAAUGGGGAGCAUCAUAGCAUGGAAGCAGCUUCUUCUCAAUGCUCUAGAAUCCAACACUCAUCUCAAACACUCUUCUUACAUGCAACUCGCAACCAUAGGAACCAACGGAAAACCUUCGAACCGCACUGUCGUUUUCAGAGGUUUCCAAGACAGCACCGACAACAUCCUUAUUAACACCGACACCCGAACUCGCAAGAUUGAGGAGCUGAAGAUUUGUUCUUCUGCUGAGAUAUGUUGGUAUUUCACGGAUUCGUGGGAGCAGUUUCGGAUAAAUGGGCGUGUAGAUGUUAUCGACGGGACGAAUCCUGAUCCGCUUAAACUUCAGCAAAGAGAGAAAUCCUGGUUUGCGGGUUCUGUGAGAUCAAGGGCGCAAUAUUUGUGGCCUAACCCGGGGCUUCCGUGUCUAAAUGAACAAGCACAAACUGAAAUAUUGUUGGAUCCUUCUAUAGGUCCGGUUGAUGCUUUUUGUCUUCUGAUUCUAGAACCAGAUGAGGUUGAUUACUUGAAUCUAAAGAGUAACCAGAGGCUAACAUUCAGAUCAAGUUUGAGUGCGGAAGCAAAGAAAAAUUGGAGUGUCGAGAGGGUCAACCCGUGAUUUCUUAUCUGUCAUAUGUAGAUUUCUUUGCAAUCAACUAAUUGCAUGUUCUAGAGUAUCGGUGAGAGAGAAUUGGCUGAAUGUGCUGGUUCUAUUCUAUUUGUCAGCUUUCAUGAUUCCUCUAGCGUGAAUUUGUGAUGAUAAGGUGUUGGGAUGUGAUUAUUCAACAUCAACACAAUGGUAGGGAAGGUUUCAACAUACCCUUUUUCUCCCAAUCCUAUCUGUUUUUACUCUUCUUUCUUGUCAACAUUUUCUCUUACAAAUCAUACCAUUGACUCAGAAUAGAGGACACACAUGCUUCUGUCAAA